rnacentral:rRNA from 1 species
GGGGGGACCACCCUCCAACCCUAAAUACUACCCAGUGACCGAUAGCGUAUAGUACUGUGAAGGAAAGGUGAAAAGGACCCCGGGAGGGGAGUGAAAUAGAACCUGAAACCUUGUGCCUACAAGCACAUAGAGCACAUCAACGUGUGAUAUGGUACUUUUUGUAGAACGGUCCGGCGAGCGAUUGUAUGUUGCGAGCUUAAGGUCUUAAGGACUGGAGGCGUAGCGAGAGCGAGUCUGAACAGGGCGUUCAGUAGCAUGCAAUGGGCCCGAAACCGGGUGACCUACCCAUGAUCAGGCUGAAGUGAAAGUAAAAUUUCAUGGAGGGCCGAACCGACCUCCGUUGAAAAGGCGGCGGAUGAAUUGUGGGUAGCGGAGAAAUUCCAAUCGAACUCGGAGAUAGCUGGUUCUCCCCGAAAUAGCUUUAGGGCUAGCCUCAUAUUAGAUACCCGGAGGUAAAGCACUGAAUGGCCUAGCGCCCGAGAGGGUAGCGAAGCCUAUCAAACUAAGAAUGCCGGAGUAUUGAUGUAUGGGAGUCAGACAGUGUGAGAUAAAUCUCAUUGUCAAAAGGGAAACAGCCCAGAUCUACAGCUAAGGUCCCAAAUUGUAUCUAAGUGGAAAACGAUGUGGAAAUACGCAGACAACCAGGAUGUUGGCUCAGAAGCAGCCACUCAUUUAAAGAGUGCGUAAUAGCUCACUGGUCGAGCGUCUCUGCGCGGAAAAUUUAACGGGGCUAAGAUACAAACCGAAGCUUAGGCUGCAUCGUAAGAUGCGGGGUAGGGGAGCGUUGUGUAAGCGGAGAAACAGUAGCGUAAGCGGCUGUGGAGUUUACAGAAGUGAGAAUGCCGGAAUGAGUAGCGCGAAUGUGGUGAGAAUCCACAUGGCCGGAAACCUCAGGUUUUUGGAGGAAGGUUCGUCCGCUCCAAGUUAGGCGGGAGCUAAGGUGAGGCCGAAAGGCGUAGCCGAUGCACAGACGGUAGAGAUUCCGUCCCCACCGAAAGAUUUAAGCGCAGGGACACUUUUAGAAGGUCGGAGCCAGGUGUUGGUUCUGGUAGAGAUCGAGGGAAGAUUAGUACCGAAGUCCGGCUGGAUAAGAGGCGAGAAAAGCUGCGUGUAUAUCUAAGGUGCCCGUACCGCAAACCGACACAGGUAGGUAGGAAGAAGAUUCUAAGGCCAACGGGAGAAGGGUUGUUAAGGAACUCGGCAAGUUGACCCCGUAACUUCGGAAUAAGGGGUGCUCAUGAAAGUGAGCCGCAGAGAAUAGGCCCAGGCAACUGUUUACCAAAAACACAGGUUUGUGCUAAAUCGAAAGAUGACGUAUACGAGCUGACGCCUGCCCGGUGCUGGAAGGUUAAGAGGAGAUGUGCAAGCAUUGAAUCGAAGCCCCAGUGAACGGCGGCCGUAACUAUAACGGUCCUAAGGUAGCGAAAUUCCUUGUCAGGUAAGUUCUGACCCGCACGAAAGGCGUAAUGAUUUGGGCACUGUCUCAACAGCCCGCCCGGCGAAAUUGUAGUACCGGUGAAGAUGCCGGUUACCCGCGACAAGACGGAAAGACCCCAUGGAGCUUUACUGUAGCCUAAUAUUGGGUUUCGAUGUUGCAUGCACAGGAUAGAUGGGACACAGGGAAACAAGUGCUUUGGCAUUUGUGGAGUGGCCGUUGGGAUACCAUCCUUGCGAUAUUGGAAUUCUAACCUGCGCCUUUGAAUCAAGGCGGGGGACAUUGUUAGGUGGGCAGUUUGACUGGGGCGGUCGCCUCCUAAAGAGUAACGGAGGCGUUCAAAGGUUCGCUCAGCUUGAACGGAAAUCAAGCAAAAGAGUGCAAACGCAGAAGCGAGCCUAACUGCGAGACUGACGGGUCGAGCAGUAACGAAAGUUGGAGUUAGUGAUCCGGUGGUAUGUGAGUGG